rnacentral:misc_RNA from 1 species
GAUGAAGAACGUAGCGAAAUGCGAUACGUAAUGUGAAUUGCAGAAUUCAGUGAAUCAUCGAAUCUUUGAACGCAUAUUGCGCUGUCUGGUAAUCCGGAGAGCAUGCUUGUUUGAGUAUCAGUAAACACCUCAACUCCCUUUUCUUUUUUGAAAUGGGAGCUGGACUUGAGUGAUCCCAACACUUUUCUCACUGGAAAGUGGCGGGUCACUUGAAAUGCAGGUGCAGCUGGACUUUUCUCUGAGCUAUAAGCAUAUCUAUUUAGUCUGCCUAAAAAACAGAUUAUUACCUUUGCUGCAGCUAACAUAAAGGAGAUGAGUUCUUGUGCUAACUGAUGCAGGAUUCACAGAGACAGCUUUGCGGCUGACUUUGUAAACUCGAUCUCAAAUCAAGUAAGACUACCCGCUGAACUUAAGCAUAUCAAUAAGCGGAGGA